GUGUUUACCUACUAAGGUAUUGACCAUAAUGUUCUCGUACGAUCGGGAAACUUAAAAAAAGGAUCCAACAGCUGAUUCAGCCGGUAACGAAUUUCUGAUAUCUUAAAAGAUUCACAAUACAAAAGGAACUUACUCUGCUUAAAUUAUUGAGCCCCAAAAUAAAUGUAAAUAGUUAAGUUUUUAUUCAAAAUUAUCGAAAGCAAAGUUUCAUAUGUGUUCUGAUACGAAUACUGACCCCCUCAAUACUGAAUAACAGACGGACGGCCACA
rnacentral:lncRNA from 1 species